AGGGAAUCUUCGGCAAUGGACGGAAGUCUGACCGAGCAACGCCGCGUGAGUGAAGAAGGUUUUCGGAUCGUAAAGCUCUGUUGUAAGAGAAGAACGAGUGUGAGAGUGGAAAGUUCACACUGUGACGGUAUCUUACCAGAAAGGGACGGCUACCUACGUGCCAGCAGCCGCGGUAAUACGUACGUCCCGAGCGUUGUCCGGAUUUAUUGGGCGUACAGCGAGCGCAGGCGGUUAGAUAAGUCUGAAGUUAAAGGCUGUGGCUUAACCAUAGU
rnacentral:rRNA from 1 species